rnacentral:snoRNA from 2 species
GUUGGGUGAUUUCUUAUUUUGUUUUCAGCUGUGCCACUAAUAUGUUAUUUCUAACUUUGGGUGAUUUGUAUGCCGAUUUUCCCGCUGAACCGAGCCAUC